rnacentral:rRNA from 1 species
UACGUAGGGUGCAAGCGUUGUCCGGAAUUAUUGGGCGUAAAGAGCUCGUAGGCGGUCUGUCACGUCGGCUGUGAAAACCCGAGGCUCAACCUCGGGCCUGCAGUCGAUACGGGCAAACUAGAGUACUGCAGGGGAGACUGGAAUUCCUGGUGUAGCGGUGAAAUGCGCAGAUAUCAGGAGGAACACCGGUGGCGAAGGCGGGUCGCUGGGCAGUAACUGACGCUGAGGAGCGAAAGCGUGGGGAGCAAACAGG